UUUGAUCCGUUGAUGGUUUUAUUUGUUUUUGAAAACUGAAAAUUCGCGUCGCGUUGCCGAAUCGCGUCAGGUCUGUGUGGGCCUAAAUACAAAAUUUGCAAAUUUCGCAUGGGUAUAUUUUCCGCAUUUUACAACAUUUCGCAACCAAACUUUGCAAUUUUACUAAUUUUAACAUGCUCUUUCUAGAUGUGGUGAUGGAUUUUGUUCUUCUUGCCCAGAUCAAAAUUUAG